rnacentral:rRNA from 1 species
CGCAGCCGCGGUAAUUCCAGCUCCAAUAGCGUAUAUUAAAGUUGUUGCAGUUAAAAAGCUCGUAGUUGAAUUUCGGGAUCAAUGUUUCGGUCAUGCCGUUGGUAUGUACUGAUAUUAUUGAUUUCUCACCUUCUAAAGAACCGUAAUGCCAUUAAUUUGGUGUCACGGGGAAUUAGGACUGUUACCUUGAAAAAAUUAGAGUGUUUAAAGCAGGCUCACGCUUGAAUACAUUAGCAUGGAAUAAUGAAAUAGGACAUCCGAUUCUAUUUUGUUGGUUCUAGGAUCGAUGUAAUGAUUAAUAGGGAUAGUUGGGGGACAUUAGUAUUCAAUUGUCAGAGGUGAAAUUCUUGGAUUUAUGAAGACUAACUACUGCGAAAGCAUUUGCCAAGGAUGUUUCAUUAAUCAAGAACGAAAGUUAGGGAUCGAAG